UACAGAGGUGGCAAGCGUUGUUCGGAAUUACUGGGCGUAAAGGGCGUGUAGGCGGGAAGGAAAGUCAGAUGUGAAAUCCCUGGGCUCAACCCAGGAACUGCAUUUGAAACUCCCUUUCUUGAGUGUCGGAGAGGAAAGCGGAAUUCCUGGUGUAGAGGUGAAAUUCGUAGAUAUCAGGAAGAACACCCGUGGCGAAGGCGGUUCUCUGGGACGGUACUGACGCUGAGACGCGAAAGCGUGGGGAGCGAACAGG
rnacentral:rRNA from 1 species